rnacentral:rRNA from 1 species
UACAGAGGUCUCAACCGUUGUUCGGAUUCAUUGGGCGUAAAGGGUGCGUAGGCGGUCGCGUAAGUCAGGUGUGAAAUCUCAGGGCUCAACCCUGAAACUGCACUUGAUACUGCGUGGCUCGGGUACUGGAGAGGAGACUGGAAUUUACGGUGUAGCAGUGAAAUGCGUAGAUAUCUGGAGGAACACCGGUGGCGGAGGCGGCAUCCUGGACCGGCAUUGACGCUGAGGCGCGAAAGCUAGGGGAGCAAACGGG